UUUUGCCUGUGCAUUCUGGCUGCUUCCGCAUGUGCGUGUGUGUGAGUGUGUUUAUGCAUCUGUGUGCGCGCUUUGCUUUGGGGUCGGUAGGUCGUUUUGUAGCGCGCGACAUAUUGUCGCUUGCAUGCAUUCCGCCACACAACACACAAACACACGCACGCACCCUUACACAAUCGCAAUAGUGCGAAUGUGUAUGUGUGUGUGUGGUUCUCCCCCACUGCCGACGUAGGACAAGGCAGAGAAAAGCAACAACGCAAGUUCCUUUAAUUCUGUUGCUGCCAGAAAAAGGCGCGCGUUCGCUUUUGUUUUGCAAGCUUCACCAUUUUAUAAAUUGACGCCAGGCAGCCACAUUACAUUAGCUGACGCCACCAGCGCCAAUCAUCGUCAUUCUCUCGCCCGCCGUUGCUGCUGACGCUCUGAUUCUGCUGCUGCCGCUGCUCUGCUUUGUCGCUGCUUCUGCUUGUGGCUGUCCGCUGUCGGCUGUCGUUGGCAUCCUCAGUGCUCCCCAGUGCGUGUUCGUCGUUGCAGCAUUUAUGUAGUUGGCCUGGCUGGCUUCAUUUUCAUUUUGUUUAAUUCUCAUUUCUGUUUGUGUUUAUUCGACUGCAGAUAAUCAAAUUUAUAUUGUGCAUGCAAAUAAUAUGUGAAACACACAAAAUAAUGCCAAAAGAAUACGAUCGCUGCUAAGAGUUAAUAGCUACAUUGUUGUAGUUGUUGAUUUAGUGGUCUUGUAAUUCUCGAAUAUAUGUAUAAAAAAAAUCGAAGAAAGUCGUCAGCGAAACAAGCUUCAUGAUACCCGUUCGAAAUGAGCACAGCGUAUAAAAGAAAGAAAGAAAGAAAAAAAAAGCGUAAC